UACGUAGGGGGCUAGCGUUGUCCGGAAUCAUUGGGCGUAAAGAGCGUGUAGGCGGCCCGGUAAGUCCGCUGUGAAAGUCGGGGGCUCAACCCUCGAAUGCCGGUGGAUACUGUCGGGCUAGAGUGCGGAAGAGGCGAGUGGAAUUCCUGGUGUAGCGGUGAAAUGCGCAGAUAUCAGGAGGAACACCGAUUGCGAAGGCAGCUCGCUGGGACGUUACUGACGCUGAGGCACGAAAGCGUGGGGAUCAAACAGG
rnacentral:rRNA from 1 species